UCGGGAAUUUUGGGCAAUGGGCGAAAGCCUGACCCAGCAACGCCACGUGAGGGAUGAAGUAUUUCGGUAUGUAAACCUCGAAAGAAUGGGAAGAAUAAAUGACGGUACCAUUUAUAAGCUCCGGCUAACUACGUGCCAGCAGCCGCGGUAAUACGUAGGGAGCAAGCGUUGUUCGGAUUUACUGGGCGUAAAGGGCGCGUAGGCGGCGCGGUAAGUCACUUGUGAAAUCUCUGAGCUUAACUCAGAACGGCCAAGUGAUACUGCUGUGCUAGAGUGCGGAAGAGGCAACCGGAAUUCUUGGUGUAGCGGUGAAAUGCGUAGAUAUCAAGAGGAACACCUGAGGCGAAGGCGGGUUGCUGGGCCGACACUGACGCUGAUGCGCGAAAGCCAGGGGAGCAAACG
rnacentral:rRNA from 1 species